rnacentral:rRNA from 1 species
UACGUAGGUGGCAAGCGUUGUCCGGAUUUAUUGGGUUUAAAGGGUGCGUAGGCGGUUUGGUAAGUCGGGUGUGAAAUCUCCACGCUCAACGUGGAGGGGCCACUCGAUACUGCCAUGACUCGAGUCCGGUAGAGGAGUGUGGAAUUCCCGGUGUAGCGGUGAAAUGCGCAGAUAUCGGGAGGAACACCGGUGGCGAAGGCGGGUCUCUGGGCAUUAACUGACGCUGAGGAGCGAAAGCAUGGGGAGCGAACAGG